UACGUAGGUGGCAAGCGUUGUCCGGACUUACUGGGCGUAAAGGGCCCGUAGGCGGCCUGGUGCGUCGGUGCUGAAAGCGCCCCGCUUAACGGGGUGAGGCGUGCCGAUACGACCAGGCUCGAGGCAGGCAGAGGGUGGCGGAAUUCCGGGUGUAGUGGUGAAAUGCGUAGAGAUCCGGAGGAACGCCUGUGGCGCAAGCGGCCACCUGGGCCUGACCUGACGCUGAGGGGCGAAAGCGUGGGGAGCGAACCGG
rnacentral:rRNA from 1 species